rnacentral:tRNA from 1 species
GCCUUCGUGGUGUAGUGGUCAGCACGCUCGACGCGUAUUCGAGAGGUCUGUGGUUCGAAUCCCAGCGAGGGCA